rfam:Vagococcus lutrae LBD1 adhBo-supercont1.8, whole genome shotgun sequence.
UUUUCAUUAGUUUUUAUCAGAUUCCUGUUCUGAUAAAAGUUAGUGAAGAAAACUUUGCUAACGUAACGGACUCGCCGUGAUUGACACCGAGCCGAUACGUUUUUUU